GUCAGAGAAGGAAGAUCGCCAGAGGCCAUCGUAUCUGAACAGGGCAGAAAGUUUCUUCGAUGCCGAAAGAGUUUGCACCGUUUUCGACACUAGUCCACUACACAAAAGGCAAUGGAAAGCUUUUACCAAGCUCAGCAGUUAGGCCAUAUCCAGGCAGUACAGCGAAUUCAAUGACCUACAUGCUUAGCGUAUGGUAGCUCCCAAUCCCAGCCAUAAACUGAUUCAUUGAAAUAGAGAGCUUUGAUAAAGCACAGCGAUUGAGCCAAGGAACUAUUGCAAUGAACAGCUUGCAAGCAUGGUGCAACGAUAUUGAACGAAUUCCACCAUCAUUUUAUAUAACUGGCUAUAAACCAGCAUUGUGGUGUCCUGGUCACCAAGCUUGCCUUUCAAGCUGAGAGAGCUGGGUUCAAUUCUUGGUUGGGCCUCUACUCAAGGUCUUAAAAUAAUUGAGGAGAAAGUGGUACCUUUAUACAUUGACAUCGGUAAAUGCGAGGGGUAAAUUACUCUGAAAAUCUUUGUACACUUCAUCAAAAAUCAAAAAAAAUCUUUGGAAAAAUCCCAAAAUCUUACUAAAUCCCAGAAUCCCAAAAUCCCAAGAAAUCUCUAGAAAUUGCAUAAAAUACUUGGAAAAAGCCCAAUAAAAUCCUCAAAAUUAUUGAAAUAUUGAGAAAUCCCAUCAAAUUUAAAUAUUUAAAUCGUGAAUUGACGUGAAAAUGUCCUUCGUUGAUUUACUUCGUUUUAAAAAUAAUUCGACGGAUUAUAUGUCGCAAAAAAUUUCGGAAAAAGUUCGGCGAAAAAAGAUAAGGGGAAAUAUUUCGAAAAAAUCAGCUGAAAAUAAUCCCUUAAAUUUCGGGAAAAAAAUCCCAGAAUCCCAAGAAAAAUUGCCGGGAUUUUCUAAUCCCAAAAAUCUUCGUACGCUUUUUUCAGAGUAAUUUAACCCUCGGGUAAAUGGUUAGACUUUCGCGUCUUCUCGGAUAAGGACGUUAAAAUCGUAGGUACCUCGAAUCCCCUAUCAAUUGGGUGGACAAUUGCCUGUUGGGAAAUUCGUCCACCAUUGAGUGAGAAACUCAAUAAGUUGGCU
rnacentral:lncRNA from 1 species